UACGAAGGGUGCUAGCGUUGUUCGGAAUCACUGGGCGUAAAGCGCACGUAGGCGGAUCUUUAAGUCAGGGGUGAAAUCCCGAGGCUCAACCUCGGAACUGCCUUUGAUACUGGGGAUCUCGAGUCCGGGAGAGGUGAGUGGAACUGCGAGUGUAGAGGUGAAAUUCGUAGAUAUUCGCAAGAACACCAGUGGCGAAGGCGGCUCACUGGCCCGGAACUGACGCUGAGGUGCGAAAGCGUGGGGAGCAAACAGG
rnacentral:rRNA from 1 species